rnacentral:lncRNA from 1 species
CUCCUUCAUACCAGAAACUCUCUGAAAUCUUCCACAAUUUUCUUUCUAUCCUUGAGGUAUCAUUUUACAUGAGAGUUCUCAGUGGGUCUUUUCAAACUGGAGACUCAUGAUCAUGACAAUCUGGUGCACUCCGACUGUGUUCCACCACACCUCCUUAAUGGGGUUGAAAACCUUCCCAGGGAGACCGUUAGACUGAACAAAUCAAACCGCAGAGCCUUGGUUCAUGUGAAAGGAGAGAGGAGCCGGGUCUAGACAGAGGAACAAAGCAAGAUCCACCAGACACAAACUGCAAGCUAACUUUGACCCUGCUGCCCACCCGCGCCUGGUGGGCUCUCCAUCACUCUGUGACCUCAAGCACUCCCUGUGCAUGGUUGGUCACUCUCUGAGCCAACACAUGCCACCAGCCAUGCUGUGUCUAGAGUCUCCUUACCAUGUGGAUUAAAGGUGGAGUCCAGGGCAGGUUGUUCUACCUGGACAUCAGGCUGCAAUCACACAGCCAAGAGCAGCAGGACAAUAGAUGUUUGGGCUGGAGGCGUCACUUGCCCUCCAUGUCAUGCAGUUCUGGGGGAGCAGCCUGGACAAGUUGGGUGCCACCUUCUUAACCCUCUUUGGACUCCAGCGAAAGCUGCAUGUCACCCCCAGCUGGACUACAGAGAGGUGGGCUAGAGAUGAUGACCACUACUGAGGUAGAUUGGCAGUCAUCAGUGGGGAACUGGACAACUUCAAAGACAGCCAUACUUACCAAGUUAUUAUCAUGUGGAGAUGCAGGUUAAAGAAGAUGGCUCUGCCAACCUUUUCAGACUCGCUAUGAAAUGUCAAUGCAGCUAAUAUUAUAGACAGCUAAGUUAGGAAAAUAUUAUAGGCAAUCAGACAGGGCUAGACCCUUGAAGGGGUCAGUGCAGAAGAUAAGAACACAUUACAACUGUGGAUGGAGGUGCAUUUAUUGAAGGCCAGUCCUCAAGAUAAAGAUGGAAUGACUAGGCCUACGUAUCUCCCUGAGGGAUAAACAAUAUACUAUAAUCAGUAUUACCUGGUCCAAUAAAGUCUAGAGAGACAUUAGUUACCCAGUGGGGGACCAGGACCUUCUGACUCAUCCUUUCCAAAAAAGGUCCUUGUUCUUUCCAUGCACACUUGCUAUGUGACCUGCUUCCACAUUGGCUCAAUAUUAACUAAGUGGCUAUACUUGUAAUCCUAUUGUUUGAUCAAAGUUUUGCUCAACAUUGUACUCACCUUGUGAUUUUAUACCCACCUUGUGGUUUUGCUCUAUAAAACUUCCUCUGUAGAAUGGGGUCCAAGCCAACCUACUUGGGCCCCCUCCUGUCUCUCAGGAGCUAAAUCUCCCGGCCCACUCAAUAAAUAUCUCCCACUCUUAACCUCCACUGUUCCUUAGAAUUCAUUCUUCAAUUCUGGGGAACUCAAACUCGGUGUAUGUCAUCAUCUAGCAGAUUGGGAGUUACUUCCCUUACACUAGGAGGCCCUAUAUCACUAGGACAUAUUGAUGUGGUGGAGUUAAGCAGAGCACAAGCUUUUAUUCCCCUUGGCUGUGGCUAGAGCCAGGCAGCAGGGCACCCGUCGGGCCCAUGGGCAUCACACUUACCAGGUGUGGCUGCUUCCAUGCAGGAUUUAUUACUAUAGGGUGUUGGGGAGACGAUG